rnacentral:lncRNA from 1 species
AAAUUAGCAAAGAGCACACAUUAUUUCCAUUAACCUAGAACUGUGCGCGCAUUACAAAUUUAAUUUCAAAGAAAAAAGCAGCAUACAUUUAUUAUAAAUUAUAAUAAUCUGCUUCACCCUUGAGAUUGGAGUAGCGAUAUUAAAGGCUCUCACGAGAGAGAGAGAGAGCAGGAAACUGGAACAUGCCAAAGGAUAGAAGUUGCCCUAUAAGACAAGAAGGCCCACCACAUUCAAUCAAGCCCGGCCCGGCCCGGCCCGGCCGUCCAUGAUCCAUGCAGCUUCUCCCUCUCCGCCGCGGCAGGCGAUUCGACCUCGGCGGCGGCCAUGGUGGUGGUGGGCGAAGAUUAAGAGAGUUUGAUGAAGAAAGUUGGUGUGCGUGUUAUAAGGAAGAGGGAUUGGGAAUGAGGUCGUGGGAGCAAUAAAAGAACGAGGUGACUAACUACCUUUUUCAAAAAGGAAGUGAUUUGAGGUAUCUUCCAUCGGAUAUGCCAUUAUGUUGGCAUCUCAAUAUUCACACACACACACACACUUGUAAUCUAAUUCUCUUAUUAAUUUCCCACUUAUUUUAUUAAUGUUGCUCACUUUGAUCAAUUUCCUGCUGCCGUACAUGCACUGCCUUUCCUUUCCUUUUUUACUUUUCUUUUUUUCUUUUUUUCUUUGUUUAACAGCGGAUUAAAGGCUGAAGAAGUAUGUCACCACCACUUUUCAUUUAAUAUUUAUAUUUUAUAUAUAUGGGGCGUUAUAAGGGGUUGUGUUUAUUGUACUGCAUAGCUUAGUGAGUCUUGUACUAUAUACAUAUAUGUAUAUAAUAUAUAUCGCGUUUUCUUUUUCUUUCCGUUUUGAUCUGACUGAGAUUUCAAGUUCAUGGCUAGUGACAUAAGCUGAGAAUCGGAUUAUUCUUUUAUGCUUCAUUGAUUACUACUUACUUCUUAAAGCAAACAGAUUUUGGCCUUUAAUUAGUUGUAGAUUAGUCAGAACCAAUGGCAUAUAAAGUUGACUUUCCUUGUUUUAUUUAAUUAAAAGGCUAGGUGAUCUAUCAUCAAGCGCAUAAGACUUAUGUGAUCCAUCACAUUUAUUUUAAAUAAUUAUACUGAUUUUACAAGUUAAAAGUUAAAAGUUAGAAGUUGUUAACUUAAUCUUGGUUAAGUACCUGAUUUUACAGUGAUCAAUGUAGAACAAAUUACAUGUGUAGAAACAAAAGGAAACAUGUUCUUGAAGGUGCAACUUGCUAGAUCAUUUAUUCUGUGUCUGUGAUGUGUAUACAAUACACCUCUCUGUGACAGCAUAGCUUAUUAGUCCUAAUAUGCAGAAGCAGAUUUGCUGGCGCAUUUACUACUUAAUUAACAAGUUAAGAGAAAAGAGCAAUACUAAGACUGAUGAGAAGUUGUUGCAUACUUGUAUAUAUAGGUAGGGAAGUCAUGAGAACCACCUGUUUCCAGUCCUGGUUGCUCUAAGCUUCAUGACAAGAUCCUCACGUUGGCCCUCCACUUCCGCGUACUUAAGACUCAUCUCUAGGUAGCGCUCCCUCAGGUCCCGUAGCUCUGUCUCCAGUGACGACUUUGUUCUUUCAUACCUCUCUCUUGCCACCAUAGAACCAUUCUUUUUCUGCCUGCACAAAUAUUUGAUCAAUCAUAUAUCAAGUGGUAAAGCUGCAUUAACCUCUAGCAUGCAUGUUGAUUUGAUCAAUUCUAGACUUGUUAUUCGUAUUCUCACCUCUCAGCAAAUCCAUUCUCGAGAUUAUGAGCUCCCUGAAAGAGAGAAAGAGCGAUAGUUAGUGAUAUUAUUGAAGGCUGCAAGAAAAGAAAAAGUGAUAAUAUACGCACCUCAUUGUGAAGGUUAUUUCUCUCCUCCAUCAGUUUUAGAUUAUCUUCAAGGGCUUGCACUUUCUUCAAGCACUCGUCUUUCUCCACCUCGAGUCCGUACAUCUUCUGCUGAAACUGCACGUUCAAUCUUUUCAUCUCAGUCACCUCGUGUUUAAGAUCCUCAUUUUGGAUGCAUAUAAUCUCUUUUUCACUCAAAUCCUUUUCCAUUUGCUGAAGCUUUUCUUCUAGGUAUGACUUGUUCCUUUUGUGUUCCUCCAACUCAGACAUGGCAUCCUCAAAGAAGGAGAUUUUCUCAGACAAUGAAAUCUUCUCCCCUUCAGUUCCUCAUAAUCCCCUGAAAUAGCAUGCAACGGAGCUCCAGUUUUCCCUUAUCGAGCUUGAAUUCUUUGAGCUUGCUUUUUAAGACUGAGACUUCAUCCUCAAGGUCAGACAUGCUUUGCAACUGAACCUUCAAACUGCUCAUUUCUCUGGUAAGCUGCUGGCGCUCGCACUCAGAGAUGGUAUGCUUCAAUUCAAUGUCAUUCAAGUCCGUCUUGAGUUUUUCUUCGAUUUUCCUGUAAUUUGCCACUAAUUUGAUAUUUCUCUCAUAGUCAGCCGUAAAUCUAUCAAGACUUUGAUUAGAAGCAGCUAGUUGAUCUGUCAAUUCUUGAACUUUCAACUCAGAUUCUUGCAGGGCUGCAUUGAGUUUUUCCUUGGUAGAUUCAGCUUCCCAUUGAACUUCUUGAAGGGAAGCUUGCAGCUCAGCCUUUUCUGCUAGCAAACUAGAAACUUCACCGGAAACCUUAAUGCGAAUUCUUUCCCUCUCUUCAUGAGCAUCGGAUAGUUGCUUGCUGAGGCAUUCCACCUCUUUCUGAAGGCUCAGAAACUCCAUUGUCUUCUCCAAGAGUAACUGCUGCAAACUCUCCUCUUCAGCAAGUUUCUCUUUCUGGUAGCUGUUUUCUUUGACAAGUACAUCUAAUUCUGAUUUGAGAUGGCUCUCUCUCAGCACGAAGUCUUCUUGCACUGAGGCGAGAUGGCCCUGCAGAGACUCGACCUUUUUAGUGCAAUCAGACAAGCAUUUCUCCAUUUCACUCAGUUGGUCCACCAGUUCCAAACAUUUUUCAUUCAGUUCUUGGUUUUCCCUCUUCAUUUCCGAGUUCAAAUUCUGAUGUUCCAUAGUUUCAAGUACAGCACUAGCGGCAGACGCCUGCAACGACUUGUUUUCUUCUCUAAGGUACACACACUCUUCUUGAGCUCCUAACCACUGUUUCCUUAAAUCUUCUGAUUUUCGUUUGAGAUCCAAUAUUUGAACGUCCGUUUCAUCUUUGAGUUUGCGGAUCUCAUCUUGGAGACUAGUUACACUAGAUUUGUAAUUCUCCAAUUCCUGCAAACACACCCUCUUUUCAUCUCUAAGUUGAUGCAGUUGAGCUUCCUGAUCAGAAAUGUACUCCUGCAACCGCGUGUUUUCUUCUUGCAAUCCCGAUAAACUGUUCUCUAAUUUAUGACUUUUUAUUUUUAGCUGCUUUAUGUUUCUUUCAAGAUCAGUGUUAGCAGAAACAUGGGAACUUACAGCAUCUCUAAGAGCUGUGACAUCACUUUGAAGAUUCUUCAUGCAUUCUGAGGAGAUCUUCCUCUCUCUCAAUGCCACUUCUAAAUCAUGCUCCAAACGGCUCGUUUUCUGUUGAAGUUCGGAAACUUCUGCUUCUAAUUCCUGUCGUUGCUGUAAAAGAAUGCCGGUCUCCUUUCCCUUUGACAGAAGAUCAGCCUCCAUAUAACCAAUCUCAGAUCUUUUCUGUUCCAAUUCCCUCAUCAGUUUUGCACUAUUCUCCUCACUUUUGGUCUUCAUUUUUCCAAGUUCUUCAACUUCCAAAAUUCUCUCUUCCAUUUUCUUUCUAGCCUCAGAUAUAGUGGCAUUUCUACCAUUGAUCUCAAUCUCAUGAUUCCUAAGAAUUUCAUCAGACUCAGCAAUCCUCGUUUCCAAGAGCUCGUUGAGCUCCAGCAAGAGGCUAUGGAUAGAUUCCACCGACAUUCUAGUAGUGCUAACCUUGUCCGAAAUCAUGAGACCGUGAAGAUAAUCGCGGCCAUUCUUAGACCUUCCAUACCAAGGCUUCAUCAGAAGGUGGAAAGCUAUAUCCAUUUGUUCUAAAAUUUCAGCAAAAUGCAGAGAGCUUUCAACGCCAGCAAUCUGCACCUCCUCACUCACCUCCUUCUUGAGCUCUUCUUCAUCCAUGUUGGAAACUUGAUAUCUAGGGUCACUUACUUCAGACUCCUCACUAGGACAAGACGCCGGAUUCCCACUUGUGAUCGAGUCAAACGACGGGCAUUUUCUGAUGUCAGUCUUAUUCGAAUCCUUGAGCUUGAACAAGAGUUCAAGAUUUUCAUCAGUGAGCUCAGUGCAGUCCUUCUCCAACUCCCUGACUUUCUCUCUCAAGGAUUCUAUCUCUCUGAUAAGAUCCACAUCCUUUUCAGCACUCCCUUUCAACUCCUCAUCUUUGAUGUAAUCUGAUAGCUUCGCUUCCAAACUGGCAAUCUCUUUCUCUUUGGCUAAAAUUUUGCAAUAAUAUUCCCCUUCCACUUGUGACAGAAUCCUUCUGUUUGAUUCCCUUUCCUUCUCCAACUCACCAGUUUUAUCCCGUAAAGCUUCAUCGAGCAACUGAAUAUCAGAUUUCAGCUUCUUCUCUGACUCCCGGAGUUGCUCCAGCUGCAGCAACAAAGUCCUGUUUUCCUCUGAACUUUGAUCCAAAGAAUUCUGUAAAUCUGCAAAGUUCAACUUGAGGGAUGAAAGUUUCUCCAUCUCAAUCCUCUGUUGUUCUAUUGUUUCCUCGAGCUCUUGAAGAACAGAAACAAGCUCAAUAUUCGAUUCUUGGCUUUGUUUCAGUUGUUGGCACAAAUCAUAAUUCAAAUCUUGUUGGUACUUAAUCUCACUCUCCAGCUCCUUUUGCAGACUCUGAGACUGAAUGAUGGGAGUUUUUCUGUUAGCCUCAUUCUUGGCCAACUGUUGCAACUCUUCCAUCACUGUCUUCACUUGCCUCCUUAAGCCAUCCUGCUCUGCAUACGCGGCUGAGAGCUCCACUUCCGAUUCUGCUUGCUUCUUUGACAGAUCGGAGAACUCCUUCCUCGAUAUAUCCACAUCAAUCAUCAGCUUCCUAGCGUUUCUCUCCCACAUUUUGGCUUCUGCUCUGAGUUCCUCAAUCGUGUCUUCUGCAGCUUCCAGAAGAUUCCUUGAAGAACCUACAUUCGACAUUGACCACCUGCUCCCUGCUGCUUCGUUAUGGAAAUUCUCUCUUAAGUGCAUAGGUGAUUGGUUUGAUGGUGAAUCAUCAUAACCACCACCACCAUCAUCAUCAUCAACGAGUAAAAUUCAGGUAGUAGACCACCGCCGUAGCUUCCCCUGCCUCGUCUCUCAUGAGACCUAUAUUCAUCACUCCUCGAAUCUUUCUCUACAAAUGAGUUUUCCCUCUCGUAGGAUCCCUCCAUAGAGCUGAUGCUGUUUAUCACAACAGUUGCUGAUUCACUUGCUUCCUGCUGAGAAAUCAUGAUGCAACCUUUUGUUAAAUCAACACACAAAAUGGACAAACAUUAACAAAAUGAGAGUUUCGAAAGACCUCAGUGUCUAAUUGCAGUGGACGAGAGGAGGUGGCCGGAUCUUCACUUGAAUUAUCUGAUCUACGUGACUUGCUCCCCGCGCCAAAAUGAUCCACAUCCUCGACUUUUUCCUGAGAAUCGGAGUUCUUGGAUUCCUCGUCUCUGGAAGACCAAAACAAUGUCAGCUGGAUGUUCUAAAGUCCAGAACCAAGAAAUCAGAAUCCGUCAUAAAAACACCAACCUGAUUCUUGAUCUAGGUAGAUUUACGCGUUGAAUUUUGACCUGAAAACCAUAUAAACAGUCACUGCAACGCUGUCAAUUACAUGGGUAGAUAUGAUUUUUAAUAACAUAUUGAAGCAUUGACACAAAUACUGGACCUGAAAAAUUGUGCCAUAGCUGCAUUUCUUAAGAGGCUGUGAAACUGCAGCAGAGGCCCUUGAACUGGUAUGUUGUGCCAUAUUGAUAAUUGCUUCUCCAAGGGUGUUAGCAGAUCUUGUUGAGCCCUGAAACACAUUUCCAUAAUCAUUCUCCACCACACUAACUACGUAAUCUCGAGUAGAAUCUGAAAACGGUACCGUUGAAACAACAAACUUGACGAGGCAUUCUUCGUAGGAUUUAGAAGAAUCAUAUCUCAAAAUGUAGAUAGAUUCGGAUACUGUCUCGGACCAGAGGCAACUGCCAUUCUUAACAAGUGCCUUCCCCAAUUUGGCUAUUGUCUUCCCAGUUUCUGCAGAAACCAGAGACACAAAAAGCCUGUCCCAUCCCUUUGGCACCUGCAGAAUCAAAAUUAAACUGAAAUAAUUAACUCAAAGAAAAGUGUGGUGUUUUAUGUUGAGAUUCUUCGCCAAUACAAACGUGCAUGUGCCAUAUUGUUUUUCAGGAUUUGAAGUUGUAAUACAGUAAGUGAUCGAUACAGAUGAAGAAAAGCAAAUAGAACUGAAAAACAUGAUCGAUGAAAUCACAUAUGCACCUGAAGUGCUUGAAAACUGGAGAACUUGAAAUCAAAUCUGUCUCUAAUUUGUUUGGAUGAUGAUCUGUUGGUUGGCCUCUGCAUCUUCAACAUUGUGUCUCACUGUGGGCUACAGUGCAUUGAAGAUAUCUUGUAAAGUGAGGAUUGGUAGUGUUGUAGUGAUAGAAACAAUGCAGUUAGCUGGCUAGUCAUUGUUCUCAACCUAUAUGUAUGUUAGAAAUGAAUAGUGAGUAGUUCAUCCUUUGGAUUUCACGUGCUCAUAUAUGCCAUUGUUUCUUCACCACUCAACUUCCAACUUCCAUGCUUCAACCAAAAUUCACUAAAAGUUAAACACCACUUGCCUCAAUCAAAUGCGAGAAUACUAGGACUAUUAUUUCAUUUAUGUUUUCCAAUUCUCACUCUACAUGUGCUAUUAAUAUUCAUCAUGCAGUGGGCGUAUCGUGCGCGCUCGCUUUAAUUUAAUUUCCACACAAAAAUAUACGUAAGAAGAAAAAAGUAAUAUUAUUAUUAGAAUGCUAAUUUCUUUUUCUUGAGUUGGGGGAAUUGGAGAUUAGAUCUCAAAUAAUUUCCCUCAUAAUAGGCAACUAAAGACUCUACUAUUAAUUAAGCCCUCCUAAUCCAUAGAGUUUAAGGGCUUAUAAUUUGAAAGACUGUGAAUUCCAAUCCACCAACUCUUCUUAGACUAACAUAAUAGAUAACUCGUCUAAUUCGAUUUAUUAAUGUGCGAUUUAAAGGUAAUUGUAUAGAAAGUGAAUAGUGAAAACGAGGUUUUACUAGUACUACCGUGUUAGGAGUUGGGCUAUGAGAUUAAUAUAUUCAUAGCUAAUGCUUAGAAAGAAAGUCUAGCUAGUAGUUCACCUAUUUGUGUAGUUAUAUUACGUCUGUCAAAGAUCAACUGUUGAAUAAUGACUUGACGCUAUUGAUUUUUUCUUUCUUGUUGUUGAAAGUCUAAACUAUAUAUAUUUAUAUAAGUCAAUCCGUGUCUCCAGAUCUAGAUCUUAAUAGAGUUUAAUUGAUAAAUGAGUUGUUUUAGAAUAAAUAGUGUUUAUGAUUCAUCGUCCGAGAACUUAUAUUUUAAGUUCAAAGAUCACAUGAAUUAAGAAUUAAAUACUUAAAUUGUUACUAUUUUGCUAAAAAUACUUUAUAAUCUAUUAUCCAAGAAUAAGUCGUUUAUUUUCAUUAUGGUAUAAAGUCAACUUCAUUAGAGUUUUAUGCUACUAAGUAACAUAUUAAAUAUUUAUUGAUUAUUUUAAGGGAGAAUUUAAUAAAUUUGAUAUCACUUGACUUUCAAAUCUAAAUACUCAUCAAAUUUGAUUGUUAUUUGAUUCUUUGUUUAAAAACUUCAAUAAAAUUCUCAUAAAUGCACUUUAAAGUCCACAGUAAAUCAAGACCAACUCUCAAUUGUAUCAAUUCGCAUUUGAACCAACUUAUGAGAAGUAAGGUCGUAUAUUUAAAUUUUAUUUCCCGCUCCUUUCACUUAGAUUUGAAUUGCACAAAAAUUAUAAAAAGAUGUGUAUAUAUUCAAAAUCAUCCUCGUGAAGAAAAAAAGAGAGAGAUUAUUUAGCUUCAAGGUCAUAAUUAAGGGAAUAUAUACGGAUCAUGCAUAAAAGGGGAGGAGGAUACAUUAAUUUUUAUUUUAUUUUUUUUGAGAGGGAGGAUACAUUAAUUUACCCAAGUUAAAAACUAAUUUGUUUUCUUUGUUUUUAAUAAUUUCACAGCUUAUUUACCUUGGGAGUUUCACAAUCUGCAGUCUCAUCGUUUUUAUAGUUUAAUAUAAGGUCGAUUGAUCGAUGAUUUCAAUAAGAGGAUUAUUUUUUUAAGUUGAUAGUUACACAAUGAACAACAAUACAUAAUAUACUUGUCCCAUGUUUGGUAUUAUAAAAUACAAUAUUAUUAUAAAAUUAAAAAACACACUCCCUCUGUCUACGAAAUGAAUACUCGUAUUUCCUUUUUAGUCUGUCCACCAAAUAAAUAUCCAUUUUCUUUUUUGGUAAGUGUACCCCACACUACUUACUCACAAUAAAAAUGGGUCCCUUAUUCCACUCACACACUUAAUCAAUUUCUAAGAAUCCGUGCCACCUCGUGGACGGAGGGAGUAUAAUUCUUGAUUAUUGACACAUCUUUAAAAUUGUAAUCCGAUGCUAAUAAUAUUUGUGUGGAUUGCGUUGCACAAGAAUUGAAGGUAGUUACUAGUAGUUAGUUGGGUGAUAAAUGAUUGUUACUUGAAGUUGAGGAGCAAUAUGAACUAACGCAACAACUCGGUUUUAUGCUAUAUACCAACUCCGGUUUAUGGUAUCCAACUAUUCUGCUCCAAGAUAACAAUAUCUAGGAGAUAACAAUAUUUAGGGUAAAGUAAAUAGUUAGCCACAAAUUCAUAAUGUAUAAUUAUUGAGAUGACCUAGUGGUGGAAUGUAAACGACAACACUUUCUCUUUCUCCACUCUUGUAAUAUCAAGCUUUCUUGAGGCAGUCUAUUUGUGCAAUGCAGGCAACACUACUUUUCUUUGUGUCACUCUCACAACAACCUCUAUGUCGAGCUAUUUAUAGCAGAAAUUCAAAAUAAAAAUUAAAAAACACAGCCCAACUACAACGACAUGAAAUUGAAAUGAACUAGAAGCUUAAAUUCAUCAACAAAUGCAGAAUUACAGUAGGGUAUUAUUUGAAAUACAUUACACACUAUAUGCAGCUUAGUCGAGAAGCAGCGACGUAGAAUUGAAGAAGUGAAAACUGAUUGUGGAUUAUGCCAAAGCUAAUAAAUGCAACCAACUGAUAUCGCCUUGUAUAGAAAUCAUGAAUUGCAUGAGCUAACAUUCAGGGAUUUGCAGCAGCAGAGGCGAAUGCAGUUUGUCUUUGGCUCAAUUUCAUGUAUAGGCCCUGCAACAGAGUCAUGCUAUUUCAAUUACUGCAAAACAAGCCAAAUAUAUGGCAAGAGACCUCUCUCUCUCUCUCUCUUAGAAUAGCCAAUCACUCACUUUUAAAUAUUAUUAAAAUCAAUACUUUGCCAUCGACCACCAAAAUGAUUGCCUUAUGGAAAAGACUGAAAAUAGCACCUUAUAAUUAAGAAAUUAGGGGUUGAGAAAAAGAAUUACAUUUGUUGUGUGGAUAGUGGCUCCAGUAGUCAUGCCGAUAGUUUGGUCUGGGAUCAACUCAAAGCUCGCAUGCUGUAAAAGUACUGCAAGGGCUACAAUGGCUUCGAGUAAAGCAAAUUGAUCGCCCACACAUUUGCGUGGCCCUCCACUGAAUGGGAUAUAUCUGAAAUACUAGCAUUUGGAGAUGAAUUAGCUGCAAAACUAUUAAGAGUCACAAGAGAAACAAGUGAAGAUGGCGUGCAUGCCUAUAAUCUGUGUUCGCUUCAUUUGGAACUGGGCUAUCUAAGUCAAAUCUUUCUGGAACAAAAUCAUCAGCUCUUUCCCACACCUUCAAAAUACACAACAAGAAAGUUAAUUGCUUAAUGCUCCAGAAUAUAAGAUGCAAGAGAUGAACGCUCAUAUCUGUAUUGCACGAAGGAAUCAAAAGAACACAAUUUACAGCAGUCCGAAACACCUGCACCUCUCGAUCUAAAAUAGCCUAGCUUUACUGGGGAUGUAAGAGAUCACUAGAUUUAAAAGAAAUAAUUUGACCAUUCAGAGCUUCGAGUCAUACUAGCUUAGAAUAACUCAAAUCAGCUUCCAUAUCUAUCAGACUUUGAGUUGAUCCUUUUGGAAUCUGGUGAAAAGAUACCUCUGCAGAGCGAUGGAUAUUAUAGACUGAGAUCAUGAUAUCUUGACCAGGCGAGACCUUGUAGUUCCCAGGUAGCAAGUCAUCAACUUGAGCACGUCUUAACAAGACCUAAUGAAAUAUUUAUUCCAGAUCAAAACCAAGAACAAUAUUGUCAACGUGAGGGGGAGUUUGGCAGCUUACAGGUGGAUGAGGAUAAAGACGCAUUGAUUCAUUAAUGCAACGUGUCAAGAACUUGAGAUUCUUUAUGUCUUCAUAGGUAGGAAGCUGACCCUGUAAAACUCUGUCAACUUCAUCUUGUGCUUUUGCCAAAGAGGAUGGAUCCUGUAUUAGAAAACAUGUAAAGAACUACAUCAAUAACAAAAAAAANAAUACAAAAAAGUCUUAAGAGUUAUGAAUCCUAAAAAGGGUUGGAAGUGGAGAAGCUUCUGAAAUUGUAGUUAAGUUGGUGAAAACACGCUCACAAUACAGAAAAGAUGAACCAUUGGAAGGAGAUUAGUAACUGCACCUUGCUUAACAAAUAUGCUGUCCAAGUUAACACAGAACCGGUGGUCUCAUGGCCAGCAACUAACAUAGAUAGAAGGUCAUCUCUCAGCUGGGUACUUGAAACCUGGAACAAAAUACGAAAAAAAUUGCUAAAGCAACUUAUAGCAAACAGAUACACAAAUAAUUUGUUUGAUCAAAGAUUUCACUACCUCCUCUCUGCUGGCAAGUAAGAAGCGAAGAAUGCUUGGAUCUGUAGCAUUCACAUACUCCUCCUCAUUGAUCCUCUCACCCUCAGCUUCUACAAUCUCCCGGCACUUUGCUAUGAGCUCUUCAACAGUUUGCCUUAUUAUAGAAACCGCCUUUUCAGCUUUAAUUUGCCUUGGUAUUACUUUACAUAAAGCAUUAAUCUGAAAGGUGACAUAUACACAUAAAGGGAGAAGAAAAGUUAGCAUUUACUAUCUAAGUGAUACCACGGUUGGAAAGAGUCAAAGGAAUCACCUGCCUUCCAGUAUGGCAAUAGAUCAGUUGAACGGAGCUCUGCCUCUUUCAGUGCAGUAUAAACUGCAUCAAUAACUGGACUAUUGGUCGUGAGAGAAUCAAACUCAAAGUUAAAUAGAGCUAGUCCGAUAACAUCAAGAGUAAGCUGCGAGAAUUUUUCCUCCAUGUUUACGGCAGAGCCAUUGAGUAAAUUGGGCUUCAGCCUCUCAACCAACUGCUCAGCGCAUCUGCAAAAGACCCGUUCAACUAUUAUCGACAAGUACUUCUUGUGAAGGGAUGGAACCACGGCCCUGCGCCUUACCUAUAAUAAGCAUACUUUUAACCUCAAAACAUUACACGCGUAUAGUAAGAAUAAUAGAACUCAGAAUCAGGGACAUAUCAAUGUUUUAAAGUAUCAAGCUUCAUCAUGAUUCAUGUGCUGCUGUUACCAUUGAACAAACAAGAGGACUCGUAAAAUCUACUGUCAAAAGAUUUUCUCCAAAAACCAAUGGUUGCAAAAAAUUAGUGCUAGAGAAGGAGAGGAUCAAGUCUGUGUUACCACCUACAUGAUUGUCCAAAGAGUUAAAGCGAAUUAGAAAAAUGCUAUACUCAAAUCUCUUCCAAAACACCCGUAAUUUUUUGGAGAACAACAUAGCAAACACAUUGAAGGCAUUUCAAUUCGAAACAUAAACGAAAAUCCAAUUCAAUUCCCUUGAAGCCAAUAAGCAAGCAUAAAGAGAAAAACAGAAGCAAAAUUAGGGCGAAAUGUAAAGGAAAACAGAAGCAGAAUUACCGUCCAAAGAGAACCCUCAGCAAUGGCGAAACCGGAGCCAAACAAGAACUCAGAAACCUCAGCCACAAGGCCCUUGGAGUAAAUGGUGCCGUAAUUCCUCAAGACAUGCUUGGCAAUGGCGGGGUCGCUGACGACGACGAAGUUCCUGGGGCCCGCGGCGAGGCGGUAGAUGGGGCCGUACUCGUUCAUCCACUUGAAGAGCGGCAGGAAGAGGGCGCCGCCGAGAAGGUCCGACACGUCGUCCAGCUUGGCGCUGGCGACGGGUAUGUUGGAGUCGUCUUUGGGGCCUAAUGUUCCGAGUGACUUGGUGAGAGAGGUUAGCCAGUCCGGGCUCACCCAUGAAGUGGCCUUGGUAGUUGGCGGCGGUUUGCCGUUGGAGGAGUUCUUGAUGGAGAGUGAUGGAGCGGGGCAGCGCCGGAGGUGGCGAUGGUGGGUGAUGGGGGAUAAGGUGGAGAUGGAUAAUGUGGAUGACAUGAUGAUGAUGGCGGGUUACAAGUUAACCGUAAUUUUAUGUUUUUCCGGCCACCAUGUCCACACAUACAGAGCCUCUACUUGUGUACAUUAUUUAUGCUCAAUUAUUUCACUAGUUAUAGUAUAUGUAGAUUGACAUUAAUAAUUAGGGCAAAUUGCAUGAAAAUAUCUCACUUUAUACUAAAAUCUGGUUUUUUGACAAUCUUUUCAAUUGUAGCCAAUAUUUGAACUACUUUUCAAUUUGUUGCAAUUGACUUCCGGAGUAAUUUUCCGGCCAACUUAAUGCUGAUGUGGAUUCCCGUAAAGGUGAUGUGGCACGCCUCGCUGGCUUAUCAAACGACGACGUCUCUAAUUACCUUAAACGAUGUCGUUUUCCACGAUUUUAAGCAAAUUACAAUUUCUAGUUUUAUAUAUUUAUCGAUUAGGGCUUCAAAUGUCCUCAUUUCUUUUCCCAAAUCCUCUCAUCUCAGUUGAAAUUCUGGUUUGCAGCGAAAAUCUUUGAACUGACGGAUUCUUCUUCUCAAACGGGACGACUGAGCUCAUGCAAUUUCCCCUUACCUCCAAAAUUCUGCAAAUGCAAAGAACCAGAGUCGUGCAUCUUGCAGGCUUCAAAUAGCGUGACUAAUCUGGAGAGGCGCUACUACCACUGUCAUCGUCGUGGUCGUCAUGGUGAUUGCAAGUAUUGGGAAUGGGUUGAUCCCGUUCUACCGGAGUACUACAAGGAUUGCUUGUUGAAGAUGAAGCUUGAAAGGGACUUGGCGGUUGAAGAAUUAAUUCGACAGAGGGGAAAAAAGGCAGACAAAAACACCUCCAUUGGAGAUGAAGAAGACAUACGACUCUCAGAAGGUGGUGAAGAGUACAAAAUACUUGGGAAUCAAAUCCAUAUUGUGGAGAAAAUGAUGAAGCUACUGUUUUUUGGGUUUGUACUUCUUGUUGUAGUAGUUUUUUUUGGUUGGGUGUAAGAUGUAGCUGAUGUGGUAGAUGAUGGCAUUUUGGACUCGUUUUACUGUUUGGUGAUGAAGUAUGUAGAAUGUUAAUGCAGUUGGUAUGGUGUUGAACAAUUUGGUGCAAUUUAAUGCUAACAACAUCUUGUAUUUGCUCUGUUUGUACUUUGGCUAAUGAUGCUAACAAAUGAAUGUGGUGCCAAGAAUAAACUGAAAAAUUUGCAACGUACCAAAAACCUUCAUAUAACAGUAAAGAAGGCUAUUGAGUAGCAGUAUCUGUUACAUAAAAAAGAUCAUUUGUUAUAGCACAAAUGUAUCCACAACAUAUCCACAAAAAGACCUAGAUAUUACAUCAAAACAUGCAUCAACUAGCUAAUUCCCAGCUUGAGUCCUGCUUUCUUGAGUUGAGGGCCCUUCUUUGGCUCCUGUCACAUUACUUUGGGAAGAAGACACAUUUUCUUGUUGCAAUGUGGUCCUUCUGGUACCCUACAAGUAUUGAUAUUCACAUUUUUAGUAAUCAACAAAUGAUAUAACAAAUGAGAAAUUUGCAAUUCAUUUGAAAUACUUACUCUCCUCUGGCUUGUUUGCUCUUGUUGACUAGAUGUUCCUUCCUGCCUACUUUUCUUAGGCUUUGGAGGUUGGAUUGGAUGAAUUCUAGGCCUGCCUCUUUUUCCCUGUUUCCAGUUGAAGAAAGAGUAUGUAAACAAAUAGCUGUAAAUAAAGAAUAAGUAAACAAAGACUUGGAGCAGUCAAAUACCUUGGGUUUAGGUGGUGCCUUCUCAUUCUUACAAGUCUUCAUGUUGUGACCCUUUUGCUGACAGUUUCAACAUGUCAUUACCAAACCAAACCUCUUCAAUUUGUGUUGAUUUUUGGGAUCUUCUUUAGGAUCUCUUCUCCUCACUUUCUUGGGUCUACCUGGCAUCUUCCUAACCAGUGGAGGCUUCACAACAUAUCCAUCAGCCUCCGGCCACAUCUCCUCACUGACCAAAGGCUCUAUGGCAUACUUGUAUGCUUCUAGAUACCUUUCUACAGUGUAGUAAGCAUGCACAUAUGCAGAUGGCUCCUCACCCUCAAAUUGCAGGGCAGCACAUCCAUGAAGACAUGGUAUUCUUGUGAAAUCCCAUUCCCUACAUGUGCAACUUCUUGCAUUCUCAUACUCUUCAUCAUCUGAGACAAGCUCAUCAUCACCCAACUCAUCAUCAGAUGAUUCACCACCUAGAGGGAUAUAAUCUGAAUCUUCAGAUUCAUCAUCAUGAAAAUCCUCAUUCUCUCAAUCUUCAUUAACUUCACCAUCACCCUCUGCAUUAAGUUCAUCCUCACCAUCACCACCCCAGUCACCCUUAUAUAUGUUGUCACUCUCAUAACCUGUCAAUUCAUCAUACCCAGAAUCAUCCUCACCAUCAUCACCCACUGACUUCCUACCCUCACCAUCAUCACCCACUGGCUUCCUACCAUCAAUCUUCCCACCCUCACUUGCCUUACUACUACUCUCACCAUCAACUUUCUUAGCAGAAGCAUCCACACUCGAAAUAACCCCACCAUCAACAUAAACAUGUAAAACCCUGAUAUAUGGAUUAAGGCAAGAAAGCAUAUCCAUGCAAUUUUUAUCAUCUUGCAGGACAUGAAACGACUGACUUCUAGGAAUUUGAUAGCACAAUUUCCCCCAAGUAGCAUAUCCCAGAUUUCUAACUAUUUCUUCAACAUCGAAAUACCCAAACCUAUUGAUCAUGUUUGAAGCUUUCCUCACAUUCACCCCCAACAUACACUUCUUUACAAUCAAAAUGCACAAAUCUACCACCAUGAUGAAUGUAAACUCCAAAUCACUUCAAUCUUCACCGAUUCAACAACAUAAGUGAAACGCUGCCAAAUUUGUACUAGCUAAACCAAACCUCUCCAAAGUUUGAAUCGAAGAAGAGAAUCACAAAGCCAAAAAUCAGUCAAUGCUGAUUACAUAUAUUCUCUUAACUUAGGCAAAUAUUGUUUAUCCAAAGCCUAGGUAAAACUAACUGCAAAGAACUUGUUCUUUGUAGUCUAGUUGGCAAGUUUUCAAACCUCUAUUCAACCAGCCGAAUUGAAUUUUUGCCAAAAGGUGUUUGUCUCCGUAGGUCCUAGUGCCCUGUGUGUGCUAGGAGUGAGAAAUCCAACAAGGUGUGUUGGUACUGAAGAUUGGAUCUUCAGUCGUCUCGAUUGUGUGUACCCGCAAGCACACGUUCAGGUUUGUUGUGCACCCGUAAGCACGAGCAUCGGUUUGCAGUGCACCCGUAAGCACUUGCCCAGUGAAGUUGUUGGUCUGAUCAACCGAUCGUGGAUGUAGGAAGUGUUUCCGAAUCACGUAAAAAUCUAUGUGUUAUUUACAGCUUUCAGUACUUACAUUUCUACUUCUGCUCUUACCUUCAUAGACUGAAAACUGACUAAUCGCAAAGAGAAACCUAACGACUGACAACUUGUUUAAUACACAGGCAAUUUCGAAACAAAGGUUUUCCGCUGCGUGUGUUAUCAGUCUAACUGAUCUAUCUUCUGAUAGUCAGUAAGAUUCAUACAUAUCUCUGUUUAUCAAACUCGACUGAAGCCUUAUGUGUAUAAGUUAAAGUCUUUGACUUAACUGAUAACUCCUUACUGAAGAGUAUUCAGUAUCAGUCGUCAACCCUGUUUGGUCAAAACUCUUUUCAGUAAACAGGUUGAGUCAGUUUGUGUUUGAAGUUUCGUUUUAACUCGGAUAAAAAUAGCCUAUAGGUGUAUUCCCCCCAUACACCUAUUCGAGACCCUCCGGACCUAACAAUAUGUAUAUAAUAUACUAUAUAUUAGUUAUUUAUCUACAAAUUUAUAUUAAUAUAAAGUUGACCUUUAAAAAAAUAUUUUUAAGCUAAAGAUUUCUAAAAUGAACAAAUAUAAGUUUCAUCAUUGUAAUUGCAUUAAACUGAUAUAAUAAAAAUAUAAAUAGUAAAAUAUAAAAAAUACUGAUCUAUAGUAAAAACAUAAAAAAAAUAAAAUAAAAAUAAUGGAAAAAGGAAUAGAAAGAACCUACAUUUUAAAAAUGAGAAAUGAGAGCGGAAUGAUAGAGGAGGAAGAGAGAGGAGAGAGAGAAAAAAUAUUUGUGACUUUAAAUUAUAAUAACAUAUUGGUUUUAAAUUUAUUUUUUUAUAAUUUUUACAUCAAAUUAAAGAUAUCGUCAUUAUCUUUAAUUUAACAUCAUAUUAAUAUUUUUUAUAAAUUAAAGUUGAUGAUUUUAAAAGAGAAUCAAAACUACAAAAAGAAAAAUAAAGAGAUAAAUUUUGGUGGGAAAAAGUUUACGUUUAACUCCUCUUUUAUACUCCCUCCGUCCCAUUGGGCUUGUCCCAUUUGAUUUCGGCACGGUUAUUAAAGAGAGUAUUAGUAGUGUUAAGUGUGGAGAUAAAAUAGGAGAGAGAAAGUGAUAAAGUGAUGAAAUAGGAGUACUAUUUAUAGAAAUGAGACAAGAUCAGUGGGACAAACAAAAAAGGAAUACGGGACAAGAUCAAUGGGACGAAGGGAGUAUUAUAUAUAGAUUAGGGGUGAGCAUUCUGAUUUUGGAUCGAAAUUUUGCCUAAUCUGAUCCGAAAAUUCCCUAAAAUUCAAUCCGAUCCGAACCAUAUUAUCUGUAAAUUCAAAUCCGAAAUUCUAAAAAAAUUAGGAUAAAAUCCUAUCCGAAUCGAAAAAUCCAAAAUUUUAAAAGAAAUUUGAAAUGUGAAAAAAGAAAAUUAGAAAAUCGAAUAAAUUCGAACAAUCCGAAAUGCAUAUCAAUCUAACCAAUUAGAUAAUUAAGAUCGAAUUAAGAUCAUAAUUGAAAAAUCAUUAAUUAUAAUCAAUCAAUAUGAGAGUAUAGAGUUAGAAUUUAGAAAUAUUUAACUAUUUAAGAACUAAUAAUUAUAUAUAUUUAUAUAUAAUAUAACAAAAUUAUUUAUAUUAUAAAUAUAAUUCGAAUUUUGAAUUUUUUCGAAUUUUAAAAGUAUCAAUCUGAUCCGAAAACCCGAAAUUUGCUUAAAAGUUAAUCCAAUCCGAUUCGAAAAUUCAAAAAAUUUGAACCAAACUUUAAAUUUCAAUUUGACUCGAAAUGGAUAUUCAGAUUUCAGAUAUUUUCCUCACUCCUAAUUAAAAUGAGUUUAAAAUUAAAUACUCCCUCCGUCCCAAUAAUCUUAUCACGCUUUCCUUUUUGGUUUGUCCUAUUUCCUUUUUUGGUAAUAAUUAGAACAUGUUAAGCAUUCACUUAAUCCACCUAGCUAUAUGUACCUACUAACCUACUCUCUCUCUAUCCUAAUUAACGCAUUCCCAUCCCUCUUAUCUCUGAGCUCUCUUUCUAAACCCAUCUCUCCUACCCUCUGGACUCUCUCUCUCUCUAUCUCUCCGUCGGAAAUAAGACAGCACAACGCCUCUCCCUCAUCCUCACGGCGGAACAGCCGCCGCCUCAACACCACGGCCGAUGCCCCUUGUUCUACCUUCUCUAUCUCUUUCUUACACACUAAUGAGCCCAUGUUCGUGCUCUUUUUUUCGUGUCUGUUUUAGGUCUACAUUGAGUCUUUUACCCUUUUUUUGUUAGAGUCAGUCGCCUGGGAGGGAGUAGUUCCAAGGCAGCCCGUUCUUUGGGCAGAAGGUGCUUUUAAGGCAUGCAUGUUACAUUCCGCGAAAGAGGCAUGGGUUUGAAGCAGAGGAGUUUGGGACACUCAAAAGCUUAUUUUGAAGACAAAAAGUUUGAGAAGCAGGAAGUUGGGCAAACCGACCUUUUCCCCAUUGAUAAAUUCAAUAAUUACACCCCUUUAUUCAUGGAGAAAGUGAUUCACCUGUAGUGUGCAAUGAAUCGAAAAAAUGGUGAAAUCGUUAAGGUAAGAGAGAAAAAAAGUUUUAUUGUAUAUAUAUUAUGAAUAGCGUAUGUUACAAGUGUGGCCGCGUCCCCUAUUUAUAGGCUUUACAAUGGGGGUAAGUUGGUAAUUUUACAUUUGAUAAUGGCCCUGGUAGUUAGGAAGAAUCUUUGGUAAAAGUUGUCAGUAGCCGGCACGCCUUCAGCCCUUCCCAGCGCUGCCCGAGUCCGCCAGCUCUGAAGUUUUCUUCCUAGAUACGUCAGCCAUGCCCGAGUCCGCAGGUUACUUCUUCGCUGUUUUAUUCCAGAUCUGUCAUUCUUCCUUUCUGAUCAUGUUAGCCCUAGCUCCUUAAGUGGCAGAAUUCUCUCGAAAUGCCCUGAAGCUUUAUCCUUCGAGCUUUACGCAAAGGAUACUAUUCAAGUUCAUUUCCUCUUUGGGUUGCAGGGCUUAACCUCAUCAGCUCUUCCCAAUUUGCCUUACACUUAUUUUACUCCUCAUCACCCAUAAGUACCGCGCGGGAUCCAGUUGCACUGAAAGAAGGUCCUGGGCAUAAUGUGAUUUCGGUUCGGGAAAGAAGUAUGAGCACAGAUAUAAAGCCAAUUGGAGCUUGAAGCAGCAGAUUACAAAAGCUUAAAUGAAGUUUGGAAUUGCUCAAGUCAACAUAGCGCUUUGCCCAUAAGCACUGCAUGAGAUCCAGUUACAUCAGAAGAUGACGAGGGCAAAGGUACAGACGGGGCAGAGAAGAAGAGUGCAGGAUAUGAAGUACAUAAAUUCGUGUUGAGGGUAAUAAAGGCAAUGCAAUCUGAUCAGAAGAUGUAGAUAAUGAAAGAAAUCCAAAAACCUUAUCCUUUGAGGUUUGGAUAAGAACAAAUCAGCUUGCAGAUCUGGAAGCAAUUUUUGGCAGAAGAAGCCUUAAUUCGAGCCCACUCUUUUGGGCCAGCCUUGCGUAGUCCUAACUCAUGCCUAUAAAUACCACAUAGAUGUGAACCAUUCAAGAGUUGAGAGGACACACCAAUGAGGCACCAAUUUAGAGACCACUAUUGUAGUUUUACUUUCCAUAGUUAGGGAGGAGCACUCGCCCCUUAUGGGUAUAGUAGUUUAGUUUUCUGUUCAUGUAUUCUGCGGCACUUUUGGCCGCAAGUACUCUUUGCCUUUAGUAAUUUCAAUUCAGUACUUUGUCUUUAUGUUUUUCAUUAUGUCUUUUGCCUUUGUUAUUUCUUUUAUGUCUAGCUAAUUUUAUAUUCUAAUUUGGGCGAGAUAAGCUGAACAUGAACACUUAACUCGAUAGGUCUAAUUUGGGCAUAGUAACUGCAUGAGUAUAUUCCCGAUACACUAGGUUUGAUUAAAAUACGGUUUGGGCAACUUGGUUAAUUAAUUGAUCACUAGUUAACUAGGGAGUUCUAACCACAAGUAACCUUUGGGCAAAGGCGAGACGCUAUCGACCUCCGAAGAGUACAACUGGUGUUGGAGUCGUGACUAGUGGUGAAAUAUUCCAUGUAAGGGUCAAGUUGGGUCUAUCUCAAUCCGAAUGCAUCUUGGCCAAAUCACUCUUAGCGAGAGGCCAACGUAGAGAGUGGAUGUUGUCUGGGGUAGUUAACUUCCAUUAGCUGAUAACUUCUAGGUGGUUAUAUACUGAAAGGAUAGAUUGGGCAGAGGGCUGUUACAUGCGUGGCACGUGACAAUUGGGGGCAUAGUUGUCUUUUGCCUAUAACCAACUGGUAUGCUAGUGUAGUGAAUUAUCUUUGCACCAAUGACUCAGUGCCUAGUUCAUGUUUAAUGAAUCGAACCCAAGUCAGAAUUAUUUUGUUAUUUGAUCAAGUUACUUUUGUUAUUUCGGUUUGGUCCAAAACCCUAUUCUGCCCAUAAGAAAGUUGUGGUAAGAACCAUCAGAAACAAAACCCUUUUUAGUGACACCCUUGCAGGAGAGAUUACUGCUCAGUUCCCUGUGGAUUCGACUCUAGACUUAUUGCUAGCUAACCUAGUUGUGGGCAUAGGAUAAAUUUAUUUGCGCGAAGCUCAAAUGAUGGCUUCGUCACACACACACACAAGGACAUGGCCUACGCCGCGCCGUCGCACCGUCGUCACCCCUCCUGCUUCAUCUUCGGUCAGAGCCACCGCCGCGCGCCUGUAGCAGGUAAAACCCUAACUUUAUUUACUUUCUUUUCCUUAUUCUCGUUUCACUUUUAUGUAAAAUUAAAAAAUAAAAAUCCUCUCUCUAUUUUGCUCUUUCAUUUUCGAUAGAACGGAACACGACAACGACGUAUCUGCCGCCAUCGCGUUGCCGCUGUCCGCCGUGCUUCUCCGCUGUUCGUCUGCCUAGGUAACCUUUGUUUCUUUUUCUAUUUCCCCUUUUUUAAUUAAAACUGAAAUCCCCCCCUUCCUUUGAUUUUUGGCAGACCAGAGACAAUGGCAGGUCUACCGUCGUCGCUCCAUCGCCGAAGGGGAUAGAAAUUGGGAAUUUGUCUUCUGCCAUCAUUUCAGUUCGUUGAGUGGGAAGAAAUUGAGGAUAUAAAUUAAGGCUUGCACGCAGGUGUGACUCCAUCUGCUGUUGUCGUCGACGGAGUUAGAGGGAGGGAAAGUAAUUCGGAGGGGAGGUGAGUGGCGAACCGAGAGGAUAACAGAGAGGGAGGUCAGAGAGUGAUGAAAGAGAGACAUGUUUGGUGAUGAGGUUCAGCUUGAGGAGAGGAAAACAAGGAUAAUUAAGUUAUACUUAAUUUAUUUUUAAAUAUGCGGGACUUUUUAGUUUAUAACACUAAUUUAAUACUCAUUAAUAAUUGUGCCCAAAAAAAAUGAGACAAGAUUACUAGAACCGAAGAAGUAUUUGAUAGUAAAAAAAUCCGAACUUAACAUAGGAAUUACCAAGGCGAAUAAGAAGGAAGGUCCUCUUGAAAUUCCAUAGUGAUAUUCCUAGAAAGAGAAACCUUAAUAAAGGAUGAGAGAGAGAGACGCGUAGAGUGAUGGGUAGGGGCCACGCGUCGUAGAGAAAGUGGAUAGCACAAAGAAAUGUCGGCCCAUCUGAGUACGGAUAAUCCGAGGCGGCUGAAGGCGGCUUUUUAUUACAUUAGAUUAACACCACAAUAACUACAUUCCAAAAACCAAUAUGGGCGGCCUACUACUGCCGCAUCUUUGACCCCCCUCUCUUAAUUUGCUUAUUCUAGUGCUAGAAAUGACGACUCUUUUACUAAUUGCCGGCGCAUCACCUCUCUUCGGUACCCUUAUCUUCCGCCACGUUUAUCUUACCUUUUCACCAUGCAAUAGAGGGCCCCUAUAAUUAUGUUGCAAUUUUUUUGACAUUAAUUUUAAUAAAAAAAUUAUUGAAUGCAAAAGAGGGCCCCUAUAAUUAUGUUGGAAAAUUUUUGACGUUAAUUUUAAUCAAAAAUUAUAGAACAGUUUUAAUUUUGGAGAAAAAGUUACAUAAUGAGCUACUGUUAAUUUGAUUUUAGGUAAUAAACAUAAAUUAUAAAGGUAAAAUUAUUUAAAUUAUAUGCAAAAUAAUAUCUAAAAAUAAUAUAUAUAUAUAUAUAUAUAUAUAUAUAAGUAGAGCGCUCCAAUGACGUACCCUUUAUUUUUAGUGAGAUCUUAGACACGAUCUCGUGUCGUUUUAUUUUAUACAAUCUUAUGGCGGACAAUGUACCUAGAGGAUGAAUUUUUUCUCAGGGUUCGAAUCCUGGAGAGAGUGAAAUAUUUUAAAUUCAUUAUUCAUCAGUAUAUACUGCAUUGUUCAUCAAUAUAUACGGCCUUGUUCAUCAGUAUAUAUGUCUUAUUCAUUACCAAUUUUUUAAGUUCGUUAUUCAUCUGUAUAUACUGUCUUGUUCAUCACUAUAUAUCGUCUUAUUCAUUGAAAAAUAUGCGUAUCAGUGUCUCACGAAAAAUAAGGGUCUCACUAUGGCUCACCCAUAUAUAUAUAUAUAUAUCCCUAUAUAUAUAUAUAGUAGGGNUCCAACAAUUAGACAAUGACCAGGGAAAAAAAUAAGAAUGCAGAUUAGAGCUAAAGACUAGAUCUUGUGUUUCCAAAUUUCUUCAACGAAUUAGAGCCGAAUCUGCCGCUCCACCGCCGCAGCGCCGCCCAUCGUCAUCCAGGUAUGCAUAAUCAUCUACCUACAACAAAAUUCCCCAGACAAAAAAUUGCACACCAAAAGGAUUCUCCCAAAAUUCCCAAAUUCCAGAUCUGAAUUUUUAGGGCUUGAGUUGAUGGGGAAGAGUCGAGGGAGUCAGGGAUUGAGGCGGUUCUAAUUGAUGUUACCCGGAGGAUUAGGCUCGUAAAAGGAGGUGGCGAUGGUGUGGCUGGUUGGGGGCUCCGGCGAGUAGUCGGGCAGGACGUCUGGGACAGCGGCGAUGCUUCGAGAUCUGGGUCGUUUGGUCUGUUCAGGGGGAGAAGAGGGAGCGACUCAGGCAGAAUCAGAGGUGGUGGUGAUGGUGGUUCGUCGCGGCGGUGAUGAUAGUUGAUGGUCGCUACUUCAGAUCGAUGGAGAAGGGGGCGGCGGCGAUUGUCGCCGCUCGCCGUUGAAAUAGAGAGGGAGAUGAGGAUUUUGAUGGUGAAAAUCGUGACGGCCCGACGAUCUUGCUGGUCCUCCGACGAUUUAGGGAGGAGGAAGAAAGGAGGUGCAGUGGUGGCGGCUGUAUCGGCAGAGGUAGAGGGAGGUUUGAUGCUCCAAAAUCUGUAAAUGAGAGAGA